AUACGGAGGAUCCGAGCGUUAUCCGGAUUUAUUGGGUUUAAAGGGUGCGCAGGCGGCCAUUUAAGUCAGCGGUUAAAUCGUGGGGCUCAACCCCAUUCUGCCGUUGAUACUGGGUGGCUUGAUUGCGGUCGAGGUUGGCGGAAUUCGUUGUGUAGCGGUGAAAUGCAUAGAUAUGACGAAGAACACCGAUUGCGUAGGCAGCUGACCAGACCGCAAAUGACGCUCAUGCACGAAAGUGCGGGGAUCGAACAGGAUUAGAUACCCUGGUAGUCCACACAGUAAACGAUGAAUACUUGUUUUCGGCGAUAUAAUGUCGGAGGCAAAGCGAAAGCGAUAAGUAUUCCACCUGGGGAGUACGCCGGCAACGGUGAAACUCAAAUGAAUUGACGGGG
rnacentral:rRNA from 1 species